rnacentral:snRNA from 1 species
GUGCUCGCUUUGGCAGCACAUAUACUAAAAUUGAAAUGAUACAGUGAAGAUUACCAUGGCCCCUGCGCAAGCAUGACAUGCAAAUGUGUAAAGCAUUCCAUAUUUUU